AGAGUUUGAUCUUGGCUCAGGACGAACGCUGGCGGCGCGCCUAACACAUGCAAGUCGAACGAGCGAGAGAGAGCUUGCUUUCUUGAGCGAGUGGCGAACGGGUGAGUAACGCGUGAGGAACCUGCCUCAAAGAGGGGGACAACAGUUGGAAACGACUGCUAAUACCGCAUAAGCCCACGGUGCCGCAUGGCACAGAGGGAAAAGGAGCAAUCCGCUUUGAGAUGGCCUCGCGUCCGAUUAGCUAGUUGGUGAGGUAAUGGCCCACCAAGGCGACGAUCGGUAGCCGGACUGAGAGGUUGAACGGCCACAUUGGGACUGAGACACGGCCCAGACUCUUACGGGAGGCAGCAGUGGGGAAUAUUGCACAAUGGGGGAAACCCUGAUGCAGCGACGCCGCGUGGAGGAAGAAGGUCUUCGGAUUGUAAACUCCUGUUGUUGGGGAAGAUAAUGACGGUACCCAACAAGGAAGUGACGGCUAACUACGUGCCAGCAGCCGCGGUAAAACGUAGGUCACAAGCGUUGUCCGGAAUUACUGGGUGUAAAGGGAGCGCAGGCGGGAAGACAAGUUGGAAGUGAAAUCUAUGGGCUCAACCCAUAAACUGCUUUCAAAACUGUUUUUCUUGAGUAGUGCAGAGGUAGGCGGAAUUCCCGGUGUAGCGGUGGAAUGCGUAGAUAUCGGGAGGAACACCAGUGGCGAAGGCGGCCUACUGGGCACCAACUGACGCUGAGGCUCGAAAGUGUGGGUAGCAAACAGGAUUAGAUACCCUGGUAGUCCACACCGUAAACGAUGAUUACUAGGUGUUGGAGGAUUGACCCCCUCAGUGCCGCAGUUAACACAAUAAGUAAUCCACCUGGGGAGUACGACCGCAAGGUUGAAACUCAAAGGAAUUGACGGGGGCCCGCACAAGCAGUGGAGUAUGUGGUUUAAUUUGACGCAACGCGAAGAACCUUACCAAGUCUUGACAUCCCUUGACAGACAUAGAAAUAUGUUUUCUCUUCGGAGCAAGGAGACAGGUGGUGCAUGGUUGUCGUCAGCUCGUGUCGUGAGAUGUUGGGUUAAGUCCCGCAACGAGCGCAACCCUUAUGGUCAGUUACUACGCAAGAGGACUCUGGCCAGACUGCCGUUGACAAAACGGAGGAAGGUGGGGAGGACGUCAAAUCAUCAUGCCCCUUAUGACUUGGGCUACACACGUACUACAAUGGCGUUAAACAAAGAGAAGCAAGACCGCGAGGUGGAGCAAAACUCAGAAACAACGUCCCAGAUCGGACUGCAGGCUGCAACUCGCCUGCACGAAGUCGGAAUUGCUAGUAAUCGUGGAUCAGCAUGCCACGGUGAAUAAAAGGCCGGGCCUUGUACU
rnacentral:rRNA from 1 species